ensembl:lncRNA
GCAAGUUGUGCAUUAACCAAGCGUCCUGUUCAGGUCAGGCUCUCCGCAUGAGGUUUUUGUAGCCAACCUUCAAGAUGGCCCCCAAUGAUUCUUUCAUGUUGGAAUUCAUGCCACGUGCAGUCCCCUCCCACACUGAAUAGGGCUGACGUGUGUAACCAACAAGAUAUUGCAGAAAUGAUGGAGUGUGAUGUCCAAGACUAUGUCAUAAAAGACGUUACAGCUUCCACCUUGCUCUCUCUUGGAUCCCUUUUCUGGAAGAAGCCAGCUGCCAUGUUGUGAGAACACUCAAGCAGCCUUACAAGAGGUCCGCGUGGUGAGGAACUAAGUUUCUUGCCAAUAGGCAGCAUGAAUGGGGCAGUCAUACAAGUAAGCCAUCUUGGAAUCAGAUCCUCUGGCCCCAAACAAACCUUCAGAAGACCACAGCAUAGUGAGGGACCAGGACCUGGAACCACUUAAGUCGUCCCUGAAUUUCUUAUCAACAGACACUGUGUGAGAUGGAGGAAAGGGACCAGGAAAGCAGGCGGCCUCUAGAAGUUGCAAAAGGCAAGGAAGCAGAUUCACCCCGGGGCCUCCAGAAGGAAUGCAGCCCUGCCAAUACCUUGAUUUUAGACCUGUAUUGGACCUCUGACCUACAUAAAGGUAAAACCAUAAAUUUGUGUUGUUUUAAGCCACCAAGUUUGUGGUAAUUUUUUACAGUGG